ACAGCAGCAGCCGCGGUAAUACGUAGGGUGCGAGCGUUAAUCGGAAUUACUGGGCGUAAAGCGGGCGCAGACGGUUACUUAAGCAGGAUGUGAAAUCCCCGGGCUCAACCUGGGAAUUGCGUUCUGAACUGGGUGGCUAGAGUGUGUCAGAGGGGGGUAGAAUUCCACGUGUAGCAGUGAAAUGCGUAGAGAUGUGGAGGAAUACCGAUGGCGAAGGCAGCCCCCUGGGAUAGCACUGACGUUCAUGCCCGAAAGCGUGGGUAGCAAACAGGAUUAGAUACCCCUGUAGUCCCUGUCUCUUAUAC
rnacentral:rRNA from 1 species